GGGGAAUCUUCCGCAAUGGGCGAAAGCCUGACGGAGCAAUACCGCGUGAGGGAGGAAGGCUCUUGGGUUGUAAACCUCUUUUCUCAAGGAAGAAGAUCUGACGGUACUUGAGGAAUCAGCAUCGGCUAACUCCGUGCCAGCAGCCGCGGUAAUACGGAGGAUGCAAGCGUUAUCCGGAAUGAUUGGGCGUAAAGCGUCCGCAGGUGGUUAUGUAAGUCUAUUGUCAAAGCGUCAUGCUUAACAUGAUAAGGGCAGUAGAAACUGCACGACUAGAGUGCGUUCGGGGCAGAGGGAAUUCCUGGUGUAGCGGUGAAAUGCGUAGAGAUCAGGAAGAACACCGGUGGCGAAAGCGCUCUGCUAGGCCGCAACUGACACUGAGGACGA
rnacentral:rRNA from 1 species